rnacentral:rRNA from 1 species
AUUGAACGCUGGCGGCAUGCCUUACACAUGCAAGUCGAACGGCAGCACGGGGGCAACCCUGGUGGCGAGUGGCGAACGGGUGAGUAAUGCAUCGGAACGUGCCCAGUAGUGGGGGAUAACUAGUCGAAAGAUUAGCUAAUACCGCAUACGACCUAUGGGUGAAAGCGGGGGAUGCAGCACUUAAUGUUUUGGGAUGGCUACUUGUGGCCGCCUCGGGACAGUCCAGGUUGAGAACAUUAAGUGCUGCACCUCGCGCUAUCGGAGCGGCCGAUGUCUGAUUAGCUAGGUUGGACGGGGUAAAAGCCCACCAAGGCUUCGAUCAGUAGCUGGUCUGAGAGGACGACCAG